rnacentral:rRNA from 1 species
UCCACGCCGUAAACGAUGUGAACUAGGUGUAGGGGGUGUUGAUCCCUUCUGUGCCGCAGCUAACGCAUUAAGUUCACCGCCUGGGGAGUACGGUCGCAAGAUUAAAACUCAAAGGAAUUGACGGGGGCCCGCACAAGCGGUGGAGUAUGUGGUUUAAUUCGAUGCAACGCGAAGAACCUUACCUGGUCUUGACAUCCCAAAGAUCUCCUGGAAACAGGAGAGUGCUUUCAUUA